rnacentral:rRNA from 1 species
AGAACGAACGCUGGCGGCAGGCUUAACACAUGCAAGUCGAACGGUUGUAGCAAUACAGCAGUGGCGCACGGGUGAGUAACGCGUGGGAACAUCCCUUUCAGUCGGGAAUAACAGCGGGAAACUGCUGCUAAUACCUGAUACUCCCUCCGGGGGAAAGAUUUAUCGCUGAAAGAUUGGCCCGCGUCAGAUUAGCUAGUUGGUGGGGUAACGGCCUACCAAGGCUCCGAUCUGUAGCUGGUCUGAGAGGACGACCAGCCACACUGGAACUGAGACACGGUCCAGACUCCUACGGGAGGCAGCAGUGGGGAAUAUUGGACAAUGGGCGAAAGCCUGAUCCAGCCAUGCCGCGUGAGUGAUGAAGGCCUUAGGGUUGUAAAGCUCUUUUGUCAGGGAAGAUAAUGACGGUACCUGAAGAAUAAGCACCGGCUAACUCGUGCCAGCAGCCGC